rnacentral:ncRNA from 1 species
CUCUUAUCCCGAGUUGGCGGAGGGACAGGCCCUAUGAAGCCCAGCAACCGGCUCGUUGAAAGAAGACAGUAGAAUAUGGCUUUCAAAAUCCCGGUAUUCUAUGGACAUACAACAUGAUGCGAAAGAAUUCCAUAUUCAUAGACGAGCAAUGGUGCUAACCUGAUGCAAGGUUAUAUCCUUGAACGAUAAGAG